rnacentral:lncRNA from 1 species
GUGGGUUGAAGGGGUCCAGGUUCAAGGUUACAUCAGACCCGCCCCCCAGGCUCCACCCUCAUCCAGCUGCCCUCCCUGCCCCCUGAGUUCAUGCACGCCGUCGCCCACCAGAUCACUCAUCAGGCCAUGGUGGCAGCUGUUGCCUCCGCGGCCGCAGGUAAUGACCUGGAAGGGGAGGCUUGGGAGGUAGGGCACAGUCCAUGGUGGCAGCUGGCUGGCAAGGGCCUGGCCCUCAGCCCUCUUCGGUCUGUCUCUUCUGCCACCCACAGGACAGCAGGUGCCAGGCUUCCCAACAGCUCCAACCCGGGUGGUGAUUGCCCGGCCCA